rnacentral:ncRNA from 1 species
AUAGUUAAUGUUCCUUUGAUUGCUCCAACGUUACUUGGAUUACUGAAGCAAUUUUAGAGCCUAUACAUGCCAACAAAGUACUGAAAUUUGCUGAUGCAUGCAUUUAUUCAGACCCCAAAACCUUGUGGAGUACUCUCUUGGGCACCACAGACAUUUUUGGUGACUCAAUAACCCUGACCAGUGUCUAAUUUCAAUGUCUGCCCUAUCACCUUUCAAUGGUACUUUCUGUGCAUGCCAUGGUGACCACAGGUAACGGGGAAUCAGGGUUACAGUGCA